rnacentral:rRNA from 1 species
AGUUCGGAUUGUAGUCUGNAACCCGACUACAUNAAGCUGGAAUCGCUAGUAAUCGCGGAUCAGAAUGCCGCGGUGAAUACGUUCCCGGGUCUUGUACACACCGCCCGUCACACCAUGGGAGUCGGAAAUGCCCGAAGUCUGUGACCCAACCUACGGGAGGGAGCAGCCGAAGGCAGGUCGGAUGACUGGGGUGAAGUCGUAACAAGGUAUC